rnacentral:misc_RNA from 1 species
AAAUGGCUUACGAAGGUAUCCUCUUGGGCAUGGGCAAUCCUCUCCUCGACAUUUCUGCUGUUGUCGAUGAAGAUUUCCUCAACAAAUAUGAGAUCAAGCUAAACAAUGCUAUCCUUGCUGAAGACAAGCACUUGCCAAUGUACGAAGAAAUGGCUAGCAAAUACAAUGUAGAAUAUAUUGCUGGAGGUGCUACCCAAAAUUCAAUAAGAGUUGCUCAGUGGAUGCUUCAAAUUCCUGGUGCAACAAGUUAUAUGGGCUGUAUUGGAAAGGAUAAGUUUGGAGAGGAGAUGAAGAAAAACUCAAAGCAAGCUGGUGUCAAUGUUCAUUAUUAUGAGGAUGAGACUGCCCCAACUGGGACAUGUGCUGUUUGUGUUGUUGGUGGUGAGAGAUCACUUAUCGCAAAUUUGUCAGCUGCAAAUUGUUACAAAUCUGAGCAUUUGAAGAGACCAGAAAAUUGGGCGUUAGGUACUUAACUCAGUUCUUUCUUGCUUCUUCUACCGAGUUGCUUUUCAGGCUUCCUGUUACUCUAAUCUGUAAAACAAUUCCAUUUAAACAGUUGAGAAAGCAAAAUAUUUUUACAUUGCUGGAUUUUUCCUUACUGUCUCUCCUGAGUCAAUUCAACUUGUUGCUGAACAUGCAGCUGCACACAACAAGGUCUUCUCAAUGAAUCUUUCUGCUCCAUUCAUUUGUGAGUUCUUCAAGGACGCCCAGGAGAAAGUUCUACCGUAAGAUCUCUGCCUCCAUCUUUGCUCAUGGUGUCUGUUUGUAGUUCAUUACUUAUAUGCUUUUUAAUUGCAGGUAUAUGGACUAUGUCUUUGGAAAUGAGACUGAAGCCAGAACCUUUGCGAAGGUUCAUGGUUGGGAGGUAACUCCCCCCCUCCACUUCCCUUCCCUUCCGUCCCCUUCCCUCCCCUCCCCACCCCACUUUCUUUAUGUUUGCAUUGAUUAAUUAGAGAACUCCAUGCUGUUGUUACCCAUGGAAUUACUUCACUGGAUUUUCUCUGUUUGUCAGACUGAUAAUGUUGAGGAGAUUGCUUUAAAGAUCUCUCAGUGGCACAAAGCAUCAGGGACACACAAAAGAAUUACUGUUAUCACGCAAGGUGCUGAUCCUGUUGUGGUUGCUGAGGAUGGGAAAGUGAAAUUAUUCCCUGUGGUAUUGUUACCCAAGGAAAAGCUGGUAGAUACGAAUGGGGCAGGUGUGUUCUCUUCCAUCUUCAAGUAAUCUAGUAAAAAUCAAGUAUAAAAGGAGAUCUUUGAAAUGCUUGCGUUGAUUGAAUUUCAUAUUAUUUAAAGUUAGUUCCUGUUGUGCAUUUAUGCUGCUGUGUUUUACUGAUUGAGAAUGAUUGAUUGUUAGCAAUUUCAGAUUUGCUGUUAUUGAUACUGAAAUAAUUUAAAUUAGUCUGUGCAUCUAAGUUGGUUAGUUUUAUGUGCUAUAUUGUCAAUUCUAGCUGCCAACUGCCCUUACAAUAUACAUGAGAAAAUCCUUGGUGCACUUGUUAGUGAUAAGAAAUUUCUAAAAGUAAACAUCGUUAUAGGCAGUGAUCUAUGCUGCCAUUAGUUUCACUAGUGCUGCAGCAAACUUCUUUCAUGCAUAAGAACAAUAAAUUGAUUAAGAACUCUUGUAGUUGGGAUAAUAUCUCUUUCUUCUCCAACAAAUCAUAGAAAAAACUCUCUUUUGGCAGGGGAUGCAUUUGUUGGUGGAUUUUUGUCACAUCUAGUGCAAGAGAAGCCUAUUGAAGAGUGUGUGAGAGCUGGAUGCUAUGCAGCAAAUGUGAUCAUCCAGAGGUCAGGUUGCACAUAUCCAGAGAAGCCUGAUUUCAGUUAGGCUCAUGAUCGCCGGCCUCUCCUUUGGAAAUUUUAUAUUCAUCUUAAGAGCAUGGUCAUUUUAAACUUUAUUGCAGUUAUUUGCUCCUGAACCGAUAUAUUUUGGUAGAGGAGAUGUUUGUUUGUUUCCGAUAUUGUAUGAUUGUAUGUGCUUAGGCAUCCUUGUUCCCUACAUGGAUGAGGAUAUUUGGGGUCUUUGUCCACCAAAACAGUUUUUUCAUUCAUUUCUGAAUGGAGAACUGCUUUUGGUUGGGAUGAGUAUGAUAAUUAGAUGUUCAAUUCAGUUGUUUAGGUUAUAUUUCACUUAAAUCUCUUUCUUUUCCGAUUAAUCAGAUCUAACAAUACUUG